rnacentral:rRNA from 1 species
UCGAAGGUAGCAUAAUCAGUAGUCUUUUAAUUGGAGGCUGGUAUGAAUGGUUGGACGAGAUAUUAACUGUUUCAUUUAAAAUUUUUAUAGAAUUUUAUUUUUUAGUUAAAAAGCUAAAAUUAUAUUAAAAGACGAGAAGACCCUAUAAAUCUUAAUAUCUAUAUUAUUUUAAUUAUAAAGAUUAUUUUAAUUAUAAUGAUUAUAAAUAUUUUAUUGGGGUGAUAUUAAAAUUUAAUAAACUUUUAAUUUUUAAUUACAUUAAUUUAUGAAUAAUUGAUCCGUUAUUAACGAUUAAAAAUUUAAGUUACUUUAGGGAUAACAGCGUAAUUUUUUUGGAGAGUUCAUAUCGAUAAAAAAGAUUGCGACCUCGAUGUUGGAUUAA